ensembl:lncRNA
AGAUGCGCAACAAAACGAAACCAAAUUGAUAGAUCCAAGCGAAAUAAAUAAUGACAAAAAAAAAAAACACAGCAAAGAAGACGGCAAAGGGAACAUAAAAAAUGACACCAAAAAUGACAUAAAAAAUGACACCAAAAAUGACACAACAAAUGACAUAAAAAAUGACACCAAAAAUGACACAAAAAAUGACACCAAAAAUGACACCAAAAAUGACACAAAAAAUGACACCAAAAAUGACACCAAAAAUGACACCCAAAACGAUGAUAGUAACAACCUUAACUACAGCUUUAUUGAAAAUGUGGAAAAAAAAAAACUAAAAAUAAGUAAUAAAUAUAUAAGUAAAAAUGAAGACAUAUGUUAUAGCCUCAUCAACCAAUACCAUAAAGACGUUGAUGAUGAAAUUAAUGCUAUUAAAAAAGAAACAGUACAGAGUACUCAUACAAUUAAAAUAGAUAUUGAAAACUUUUUUAUAAAUAUACAAAAACUUGUAGACGAAGCAAUUAAUAUAAAGUGGUCAACAACUAACGAAACUGUUUAUACUUUUAAUCAAAUGAUUGAAAACCAUCAACUUGCAAUUGAUUAUUACGAACAUUUAUUAAGAAAUACUGUAAACGAUCAUAUUCUUUUAGAUAACAACAUACGGUGCGACUUAGUCGAUGAAUCUGAAUCUGAUAGUAAUAGUAUUUCUAGUAGUAAUAAGGAUGAUAUGGAUCAACAUAUAUGUAGACACAAUAAAAAAAAAAAGAAUGACAACACAACUCUAUUAAAUAAAAUAUUUAACGAACUUAAAAAACAAAUAGAUAACAAACAAAACAAAAUAAUAGAAAUAUGGUCAACUAUUCAAAAACUAUUUACAAACAUUAAUAGUUAUAUAAAAAUAUAUAUAACAAGCUUUGAAAAAAAAUACCAAAAUUUAGUUAAAAUAAUAAAUAAUAGAAUAAAAGAAUUACAAAAACAAUUAAAAGAAAAAAUAUUUUUUACCAUAACACAAAUAGACGAAUUAAUAUUUAAUGAAUAUAAUAGUAAUAAAAAUUUUUUUUUAAGUUUUUUAAUAAUUUUAAUAAUUAUAUUAUAAAAAUCUAUAAUUAUAUAUAUACCAUAUAUACCAAAUAUGAAUACAUAUGUAAUAAACUAAUAAACUAUAAUAACUAUCAAACCAACUGUUAUUUAUAUUCCAUAAUCAGCACUAAUUAUGCUCAAAAAUUAAUAAACGAACCAAUCAUCUUACAAUUAAUUCAUAUGUUAAAAAGUAAUUAUAAUAGUAUAUAUAAAAAAAGAAGUGAUUUAAGAAAAGAUUUUUUUUUUGAAGUCUUUUUUGCACAUCUUCCGUGUGAGUUUGCAAGAGAACAUCUUAUGACCAAAAAAGUCCCAAAUAAACAAACAAAAGUUCAAGACAUCUAUAUUUUUUUAAAUAACUAUUAUGAACAAUAUUUAAAAGAAUAUGUUAAAAUUAAAAAAACUCUAUUAUGGUACAUGCGUAUUGGUUCUUGUACUUUUUUUGACCUUGAUGCAUUUUUGUCUAUACUGGGAUCUAAUGAUAAAGACAUUGAUGAAGAAAAAACAAGGACUAAGACUGUGACUAAGACUAAGACGCGAACAGAGGAUUUGCGUGCAAAAUGUAGAGAGAAGUACAGACCAAAGGGUAGAGAAAAAUACAGUACAAAAUACAAAACAAGUGAGCAUGAUAAAAACCUAAACCAAGUUAAGAACGGCUUAAUUGAAAAAAAUACCGAACCAAUCGAACUAACUUAUUCAUCCAAACAUGUAAAUACGAAAGGUUUAACAGCACAAAAUGAUAAUAAUAAUAAUAAUAAUAAUAAUAAUAAAAAUAGUGCUAAAUAUGCCAAUGAUAUAAACAACCAGACACAAAACGAGCCUAUUGAUGAGACUGCUGUGACAAAUACUAUACAUUUAAGUGAAGUGGUAAAAAGUAAUAGUAGAAAAAGUAUAAGUAAAAGUGGUCAUACAAAUAAACAAGAAAAGAAAAAAAAAAAAAAAAACAACAACAGCAAUAAUAACAAGGGAAAUAAGGGGAACAAACAUAAACAAAAACACAAACUCAAAAAAAGAAAUAAAAAAAGUAAGGAAGCAGAAAAUGGAAUAAGUAGUGAUGGUGAAAAUGGUAACGAUGGUGAAAAUGGUGGCCAUGGUGAAAAUGGUACCCAUGGUGAAAAUGGUACCCAUGGUGAAAAUAGUACCCAUGGUGAAAAUGGUAGCCAUGGUGAAAAUGGUAGCCAUGGUGAAAAUGGUAGCCAUGGUGAAAAUGGUGGCCAUGGCAAAGAAACUAACUAUAACGAACGCAGUAGCAUAAAUCGCAUUGACACAAAUAAAACUUUUUUUUAUAAUUAUAUAAAUAACAUUUUAUUAUAUUACAAUUUAAUAAAUUUGCGAGAUGACUAUUUUCUUUUAACAUUUUUUGAAUAUCUCGAACAAAUAAGGACGCAUAUCACAUUAUUAUAUUUUGAUGUAAAUAAAAAAAUUAAUCAAUCUAUCAAAACGUGUGCUGAUAUAAAUAAAUCGUUAAACACAGAAUAUUGUCAGCUAUUAAAAGACUACAAAGCAAAUGCUGAAAAGUGCCUAACAAGCAAUGAUUACAUAGAACUACAUAAUUGUUUACCUACCUAUAAUGAAAAAAAAAAAAAUCUAACAAACUUUAUAAAAAAUUUAGAUGAAAAGAAAAAAGUUAUUAAUAAGAGUUGUAUUGACCAAGUAAAUGAGCUUGCAUCCUUUUUUUUUUAUUCUGUUUUAAAAAUAUCGAAAAUAGUAGCUAGCGAUAGUGAAUGUGAAGGUGAAGAUGAAGAUGAAGGUGAAGAUGAAGGUGAUGAAAAAGGAGUCGCCAAGACAGAUUCCGAAAUUGACUUAGUAGAGAAAGAUAAAAAAAAGAAAAUAUCAAAACAUAGAAAAAGUAAAAAAAAAUAUAACCAUAGUAAUAAUAAAAAUAAGAAUCACUCAAAAGAUGAUAGUUCAGACGAACAAUCGAGCGAAGAAGAUGAUAAAUUACCACCAAAAAGAAUAGACGACAUAAAUAUGUUAACUACAAACCAAAACCUAACUAAUGUAACUGAUACAAUACACAAAAAUUCCGAAGUAGACAUAAUUAAGCAGCUAGUUAGCAACAAAUAUAAAUAUAUAUACAUUUUUGAUAAAGUCAUGAUGCACAUUUUUAAUACUUAUAAAGGUAACAUAGAAAGUGUUUUUUCUGAUAUCGAACAUAACAAAUAUAAGGAAUCUUUUUUAUUAGCACAAGACAACAACAACAGCAACAACAGCGAUUAUGAUGAUAAUAAUGUUUAUAAUAACAACAAGAAGCAUGAAAAAAGAAACAAUUUUGAUGUCCAUAUAUCAAUAAAAAAAAACGUAAUAGAAAUUAAAAAAGAUAUAAUUAAAAUAAAUAACAAAAAUAAAGAAAACAAUAUAAUUAGUUCACCUUAUCAAAAUCGUGAACAGCAAGAACAAAACGAUUGCAAAAAUGAGAGUAAUGACAUAACAAAUAUCAAUGAUGAAACAGAUAAACAAACAAAUGUUUCGAAUCAAAUGUUUUUACAAGAUGUAAUGAAUUAUAAAAACAUAUUGUUCGACUAUAGGCAACUAAAACAGCAUUAUGAAUCGACGAUAAAAACUUUCUAUGAGCAGUUUAAAAGCAUGCUUUUUGUAUAUUUAUUAAAAAUAUACAUGGAAAUAAAAAAAGAAGAAUAUAUAAAAGGUAGCCAUGUUUUUAGGGAACCGCAAUCGGGUAAACAUAAAAAAUUGGAAACCGAAACAGUAGCCAACGAAACAGCCAACGAAACAGCCAAUGAAACAGUAGCCAACGAAACAGUAAACAACGAAACAGUAGCCAACGAAACAGUAGCCAACGAAACAGCCAACGAAACAGCCGAAAUGAUAAGAAAAAACGAUUCGAUUAUUAAUAAUUUAACAAAAGAACUAAAAACAGACUUUGAUAAAAAUACAAAAGUAUUUGAUAAUACGAUAAAAAAAUUAAACGAAUUAUUGGUUGAAUAUAAACCUAUGAUAGAGGACACUAAUAAUAAAAUAGAUAAAGAUAUAAUUAAUUAUGUUAGCAAAAUAGAAGAAUUAUUUAUAUUAGAAAAACGACAGUUGAAAUAUGAACAACACCUUGAACAAACACAAAAAAAAUAUAAUAGCUUGUUAGACAAACUGAAACAAAACUACAAAAAAGUUAAUAAUACAAUAAAUAACAUGGAUAACAACCUAAGCAAAGAAAUUAAAAAAACACAACAAUAUUUAAAAAUGAUAAUAGAAAUUAAAAAAACAAAUGUUAAUAUAGAAAAUAUAGAAGAAUGUAUAAAAAAAGCAACUGAUUUUAAAAAUAAUAUAUUGUUAAAAAAAAAACAAGAUAUAAAGGAACUUUACAAUCAAAACGUUAAUAUUUGGAAUAGUAAAAUCAAUUUUAUGAUGACACAAAGGGGUGAAAAUAGCAGCGACGAAGAUGGUGCUUGUUUAAAUAAUUAUGAUAGUAAUAACAUUAGCUGUAAUGAUAAAAAUGGAGGUAGUAGUAAAGUAAAUAACGGUGAAAUGGUAAACUACUUAUCUAUUAAACAAGAAAUAAAAAAUAGUUUAACUAUCUUUUAUAUAUUAAUAUAUUAUAUUCAAAAAACAUGUGGAUUUUAUGGCAACAAUGAAAAAGGAAAUAAACAGAACGCAACAAAUGGCACAAAUGGCAAAAAUGGCACAAAUGGCACAAAUGGCACAAAUGGCAAAAAUGGCAAAAAUGGCAAAAAUGGCAAAAAUGGCAAAAAUGGCAAAAAUGGCAAAAAUGGCACAAAUGGCAAAAAUGGCAAAAAUGGCACAAAUGGCAAAAAUGGCACAAAUGGCAAAAAUGGCACGAAUGGCAAAAAUGGCACGAAUGACACGAAUGGCACGAAUGACACGAAUGGCACGAAUGGCANNNNNNNNNNUGGCACGAAUGGCACGAAUGGCACGAAUGGCACGAAUGGCACGAAUGACACAAAUGGCACGAAUGGCACGAAUGACACAAAUGGCAAGAAUGGCAAGAAUGAUAAAUCCGCUUUGACGGAUAAAUAUAAAAAACAGACUCUAAAAAGCAAACGAUCUGUCAGUUUUACCACGAAUUAUGAUAGUAGUGACAGUAACAACAACCAGUUAAACGAAGAAGAAAAAUUUUUAGAAAUGCAAAAAAAUAUAUACAAAAUAAAUACAUAUGAAAAAAUAAAAAAUAUAUAUGAACUACAUAUAAAUAAACCAAGUACAAAUGGACAAAAAUUACUUUCAACCGAAUUUUCCCUAACUAAUAAAUUAUCAGAGAAAAUAAAUGAAUUGACUUUUUGUUUAAAUACCGAGUCGGUACAAAAGGACAAGUCGCAUAUUUCAGGGGAUACUCUAUACAUGAUGCAUGACAAACUAAUUUCGCUUGACAUAUACAACAGUGGUUGUUUUGAAUAUAAGGAUCAUGGUAACUUAACAGGUGACUCUAACACCGUCACUAGCUAUGACAAAAACAAUGGAAAAAAUAAUGACAAAAGCAAUAAAAAAAAUGACAAAAAUAACGACAAAAAUAGCACUGGUGACUCCAAAACAAAUAUAAAAAACGGUGCUUCAAUUCUAAGCAGCCCGGAAGACAUAAAAGCUUAUAUAAAAAAUAUAUACACAAAAAGCAAAUAUUGCGACGUGAAAUUUUAUUUUUAUACAUGUGUUUAUAUUGUAUAUAUAAUUGGAAAAAUAAUGCAACAUGUUGAUAACUAUAGUAACAAUAAGAACAAAAAAACUAACGAUAAAACUCAUACAUACGAUCAUCUACUAUUUAUAUCAUAUGACCUUUCUUAUUUACUUUAUAAUGAUUAUAUAUUACAACAAAAUAACACUCAAAAAAACAAUUUUAUUAUAAAAGAUUUACAAAUACAUCAAAAUAACGGCAUGUCCACUUUUAUAUAUUUACCGUCAUGUCAAAAUAUAAAAGAAAUGGAAUUAACAAAAUUGUACAAUCUUGAAAAACAAAUAGUGUCAAACUGUUACUCAAACAAGUUGUCGAUUAUUAAUUAUGUUAAUAAAAUUAAUGAAAAAAAAAAUAAAUAUUUUAACAAAUUAUCGACGGAGGUAAUCAUCAACUUGUUUUUUUUAUUAUUUCUUUAUUGUACAAGUACUUUAACAU